rnacentral:rRNA from 1 species
AUUGAACGCUGGCGGCAUGCCUUACACAUGCAAGUCGAACGGUAACAGGUCUUCGGAUGCUGACGAGUGGCGAACGGGUGAGGAAUACAUCGGAGCGUGCCUAGUAGUGGGGGAAAACUCCUCGAAAGAGUGGCUAAUACCGCAUGAGAUCUACGGACGAAAGCAGGGGAUCGCAAGACCUUGUGCUACUAGAGCGGGCGGUGGCAGAUUAGGUAGUUGGUGGGAUAAAAGCUUACCAAGCCGACGAUCUGUAGCUGGUCUGAGAGGACGAUCAGCCACACUGGGACUGAGACACGGCCCAGACUCCUACGGGAGGCAGCAGUGGGGAAUUUUGGACAAUGGGCGCAAGCCUGAUCCAGCAAUGCCGCGUGCAGGAUGAAGGCCUUCGGGUUGUAAACUGCUUUUGUACGGAACGAAAAGCCCCGGGUUAAUACCCUGGGGUCAUGACGGUACCGUAAGAAUAAGCACCGGCUAACUACGUGCCAGCAGCCGCCGUAA